GCGCCUAUGGUCUAAUGGAUAAGGCAUUUGACUUUUAACCAGGCGAUUGUGAGUUCGAGCGCACUGGGCGUG
rnacentral:tRNA from 1 species